rnacentral:misc_RNA from 1 species
AAGGAUCAUUAUCGAAUAAACUUGAACAGGCUGUUGCUGGCCCUCCUCAUUGGGGGGGGAUUAUGUGCACGCUUGUCUCAUCUUUGUUAUUUCUCCAACUGUGCACAUUUUGUAGAUCCUGGAUGGAGCUUUAUGAAUUUUUAUUCGAGUCGGGACUGCUGUGCUUCCUUUUUUGUGAAGUCGGCUUUCCCUUGCAUCUUCCAGGUCUAUGUUAUUUUUUUUCACAACCUCUCAAAUGUGUUUAGAAUGUUGAAUCAGGAGCUUUUUGCACCUAUAUAAAUGAACUAUACAACUUUCAGCAACGGAUCUCUUGGCUCUC